AUUGAACGCUGGCGGCAUGCCUUACACAUGCAAGUCGAACGGCAGCACGGGAGCAAUCCUGGUGGCGAGUGGCGAACGGGUGAGUAAAGUAUCGGAACGUGCCCAGUCGUGGGGGAUAACGUAGCGAAAGUUACGCUAAUACCGCAUACGAUCUAUGGAUGAAAGCGGGGGAUCGCAAGACCUCGCGCGAUUGGAGCGGCCGAUAUCAGAUUAGGUAGUUGGUGGGGUAAAGGCUCACCAAGCCGACGAUCUGUAGCUGGUCUGAGAGGACGCCCGGCCACACUGGGAGUGAGACACGGCCCAGACUCCUACGGGAGGCAGCAGUGGGGAAUUUUGGACAAUGGGCGAAAGCCUGAUCCAGCCAUGCCGCGUGCAGGAUGAAGGCCUUCGGGUUGUAAACUGCUUUUGUACGGAACGAAAAGGUUUGGGCUAAUAAGCUGAGCUCAUGACGGUACCGUAAGAAUAAGCACCGGCUAACUACGUGCCAGCCGCCGCCGUAA
rnacentral:rRNA from 1 species